rnacentral:lncRNA from 1 species
AUCCAUUAUAUUCUAUGCUUCUGCUUUUGUAUGAGCUCUCUUUUAUUCCUUGGAACGGGUUGUGUAUACUUCUCUUCUUCGCUUAAAGAAACGAAUCAAGAUAGGUGUAGUUUCUGCACCGAUGAUACUCAAGGAGGCUACCAUAAGUGCGGUCCCAUACUCCAAUGAAGAGCGCCUGUGUGUCAGGGCUGAAUGAUAUUCCAGAUAUCUCUCCAAAGAAGUCGAUCUCCUGCUCUGUUUCAUACCCCUUUGAGACGUCAUAGACAUGCACAAAGUCUGCCGGUUCGGCCAUGGCCAUGUAUUUUCCAUCGGACGUGUAGCGGAUCGACCGGAUUGCUCCAAGGUUACCCUUCAAGACAGCAACGGAGUGAGAUAGGUUGCGGAUGUCCCAUACACGGCAGGUCUUGUAUUGGUUUCCAGUUGAGAAAGUGAUUCCGUCAGGAUGCCACGCUGAGGCAAAGGAAUAGUCAAAAUGUCCUGAUAGUGUUUCCAGCGUCUGUAGAUGAAGUUUUUUAAAGAUUUGGCAUUAUAAAAGUGGUGACCAACCAUUUGAGACUAACUUACACACUUGGGUUCAGGAUCUAGCUAAUAUGUACCUUUCCUGUGUUGGGGUCUACUAUAAGGCCCUCGGGAUUGUCGCCAACAAUAGCUAGUAAUUUACCAUUAGGACUCAAUGAUGUGUGCUGUUACCAACAAAUGGAAGACAGAAGAACAUAAUUAGCCUAACUGAAACUCCGAAUUAUGCCAAAAUAAAAGGAAAACUAUGAGAGAAGCAAGGACUUUACGUUCACUGGCCAAGGAAAGGAAAAAUGCUUAACAAGCUGGUAUCUCUCCAUGUCAAAAUCUCUAACUCCACAGUCAUUAUUCGAGGCAGUAAAAUGAAGAGCACCACUAUGAACAGAUGACAAAAACUAAGUUAGAAGCAGUGACUCUAACAAUUUAAAUGUAGACCCUUCAGCAGAAACUUGGGUUUGUUGUAGAUCUCAAUAGCAUUGGUAAUAGCAUUAUCUUCAUAAGUAGUACGAGAGCAAAAGCUGACGCCAGGUCUAUCAAGAUGCUGAAACCAAUGUGGAAAGUAGAAAGAUGUUUUUCCUACAAAUUUGCAAAAUCACAUUUUCCGGCCAAAGUCGUAAAAUCAUAUCCCCAAAAUCAUGAAAUCACGCUUCCCGCAUAAACCGUGAAAUAUUUUUUUCCCGGAAAACCAUAUAUCAUGUUUUCGCGUCAAAACCGUAAAAUUAUGUUUUUCCACCAAAAUCGUAAAAUCACAUUUUUCGCCAAAACUAUGUUAGAACCGUAAAAUUACGAUUUCUGCAAAAAUCGCAAAAUUAAGUUUUUCCGUCAAAACCGUAAAUCACAUUUUCCUCAAAACCACAAAUUACGUUUCCCACUUUCUUGGUAGAAUUAUUCAUGUCUACCACCACUAAAGAGAUAUUUUUAAAAAACAUUCUUCAUUAAGUGGCAAAAGACUUUUAUAUCUUUGUUCUAUAUAUAUAUAUGAUAAAUAAUUAUUUAAAUAAACUAAAAUAUAUUUUUAUAUAUAUCCCCUUAUAUUAAAUUUUUGAAGUUAUAAAUAUGGUCAACUUGAUAAUUUUAAUUAUUUAAGGCACUUUACAAACAAAUAAAAUGAUAAGGACUAAAAUAUAAUAACUUAAGAAAAUAAAUCAAUAUAUUUUAGUAUAUACUGACACGUGUCAGUUACGAGGCAUGUUUUAGCUAUUUAUUAUGAGUUUAGGUAUGAACUUCAAAAUUUCAUUUAGUUUACGAAUGUUUUAGCACGUUAAUAUACUCUAGAUACGUAUUUUCUCCGCUUUCAUAGUGUGAAUAUGAAUAAGCCGUUUUCCCCAGUAAGAAACAGACAACAAACGAAGUUAGAAGCAGUGACUCUUAACAAUCUAAUGCGGACAGCAAAAGAAAGAGGCAAAAAACCUGGGUUUGUUGUAGAUUUCAAUAGCAUUGGUAAUAGCAUUAUCAUCAUAAGUAGUACGAGAGAAAAAGCUGACCCCAGGUCUAUCAAGAUGCUGAAACCAAAGUGGAAAGUAGAAAUAGAUGAAGCUUUGUCAAUAAUAAUGCAUAUGGCUUCUCUUUUUUUUUUGCGCAACGCAUAUGGCUACUCAAUAAUCAAUAUAUCCAGACUCUUGACUUUGCAUAUAAGAUCUCCUUGAAUCCACCGGCAAUUAUUCGUCUUUUAUUGCAAGUGUGCUUAUAUGUGUAAACUCUUCCAGCAAACUUCCAUGGUGUUUCUAAGGGGCUGCUAGUUGGAGUUUGAUUUAUAUAGAUUUAGUUGAUUAGAAGAGUAUAUAGACUUGUUGAAUUCGGAAUGAGUUGGAGAAAAUUUUGUAACAAUCUAUAAAAAUAAAUAACUAUAAUAUUUUUUAGAAUCCAAAGGAUAUAUGUAGUAUUUUUUAUGAGUUAAAUAAUUAAGAAUACAAUUCUCAAUAACAGUAACUUUAAUAAAUUUACAGAAAUAUUAAAAUCCAAACUUUCGAAUAACAAAUGAUUUUUAGAUUUUAGUGAGAAUAUGAAAAUCUAUAAAUCAAUAACACUACUAUUUAAAUUCUAAAAAUUAAUUCCACUAACACCUUCUAAAUGCACCAAAAAAUCAAAUAAGUAUAUUAUUUUAAUGGGCCGUGUGGUUAGACAAACUCAUUAACUAAUCAAUGGGCUUUAUUAACAUUAUCUCACUAAUCUAGUCAAUGUAUAUAGAUAUGUAUCUAGCCAAAAAAAGGAAGCAAUCUUAAUUUGUAUCUUUUUGGUCUUGUUAAGACUAAAACAGUUAUUAACACAUCAGCAAUACUUAUCUAAUUAAUUAAUUACAUUUAUUUUUUAAAUAUCAUUAAAGCUUUGAAUGUUUACAACCACACCAUAGUUAAUAAUUACGAAAAUCUCUACAUAUAUUUGUGUAUAUCAGAAACGCAAACGUAGUUGUUACGCAAGCUAACAUUCGGACCUUAUGUUUUCUCCUUAGGUGUUAAGGAACUGAUUUAUUAUAAAGAUAAUAAGGUCCUCACAAACUCUCCAUUCACCAAGACAACAAAAAAAAAAGAUGUCAACAGUUUCACCCUCCUCGCAACUGGUUCAGGUGGUUCCAGACAACCACAACAACACUGACGACUCCUCUGCGGAGGUCAACUACGAAGAUCUUGUCCGUAAGUCAUGUCUAUUUGACCUUUUAUUUGACAUUCAGGUUCAUUAGUUUCCUCACAGGUUUAAAACAUUUUACAACACUCAUGUUCUUGUUUUCUCUUUACUUUGUAACAUGCUGAGACACCAUACCUCUUAUGUUUUUCAGAGGAAGCAAUGGAGAGCUUGUCCCUCGAGGAAGGUAUUAAAAAAAGGUUUCUCUAACUCUGUGGCUUUGUAUCACUUUGCGACUUAUUGAAUUUCCACCUUAUGGAACUUGCAGGCACUGUUGAACCGCAGAUUGGGGAUGUGGGAGACGGAGUCAUUGAUGGGACGACGUCCGAAGGUGGAUACCUGGUGACGAUGAAAUUCGGUUCUCAAGUGCUGAAAGGAGUGCUUUACCAUCAUGCUAAAAGGCCCCAACAAGCCAUGGGAACACCACCUUCAGGCAUGCCACCAGCAUCGCAGCGCCGAGCUAAGAAGAAAGCCAGAGAGACUACUCAAGUUGAUUCUAAGAAACCCAAAUUCCGCAGGAGUGGCUACAAACCUAAGAAACAGGUCACUUACUUAUAGUUAUCAUCAAAUCAAAUCCUUUAACCAAGUGUUUGCUUAUAAUCUGAUACCAUUUUCUUACAGGUUUAUCAAGACAAAGGAGUUACGGAUGGGGAGAGGUACAGAACUGAGAUCAUGCUGGAGUACGAGUCUGCACAUGAGUCUGAUGGAGCGUCUGCUUCUGCAGCCGCCACCAUGGCUCAGUAGUCUUUUCUUCUUCUGUUAUGUUGUUGUCUUCUUCUUUCUUUAUUACAUUUCUCUUUCUUCUUUCUUUCUCUGGACAAGUUCUCUUUCUUUUAUAAUGAAUAUUUAUAAUGUCUUUGAUCAGUUUGCAGAACAUGUCAUGUUUAUGGUUGUAGGGUUAGUAAAAGAGGUUACUAACUGCGCAUUUAUGUCUUUCUUGCUAUUUUGAUUCAUGAUAUCCCGUUUGUUUGUUUUUUUUGUUUCUGUUUUCAACUUGGAUAUAUCUUAUGUUGUUGCAGAAAUUUGAAUGAACUAUUAUUACUCUUUUCGUUCCAAAUUAAUUCAUGUUUUAGAAAAAAAGUAUUUUAAGAAGAUAUAUUUUUAUUAGAUAAUAAUGUAAAAUUUUAAAUUUUGAAAAGAAAUCGUGUUUACUGUACUUCGAUGGAUAAAAAUUAUAGAAAAUAUAGUUAAACACAAAAUAAUGCAUUUAUAAUUAAGAUCAAACAUAUUUUUAAUAUGUGUGGAAAAAUUUAAAACAUACAUUUUUUGAAAUGGGGUAGGGAACAUCAUUUAUUUAACACAUAUGUUUCUUGAAUCCCAUUUUUGUUGUUAGUUUUCAAGAGUUUCAACAUGUUCUCCCAACAUAUAAAAAGCUUGUUUUGAUAAUCAAUUUGUGAAAUAACCAAAAAUAAAGAGAGAAUGGGUGAUUUUGGUUAGUUAGUGGAUUUUGUUUUUUUUUGUAUAUUGGACCUAAUUUCCCAUUAAUAAUGCAAUGAAUGUUUUUAAGCCAACAUGUCAUAUUUGGCAAGAAUGCGUUCAAGGCAACACAAAUUUUUGUGAGAAACUUCAUUGAUGUUUUCAUAAUUGAAACAACUAACCAACACUACUUACUGUACACAUCUUGAACCUUCAGAAUUCACAAGGAAACAACAUGCAAGCCGCCGGCAAAGGAAACAAAAAGACAGUAACUACAAUAGCAUUUGCAUAACACAUCAUUUACACCUUUUAAGACAUCCAUUAUAUUCUAUGCUUCUGCUUUUGUAUGAGCUCUCUUUUAUUCCUUGGAACGGGUUGUGUAUACUUCUCUUCUUCGCUUAAAGAAACGAAUCAAGAUAGGUGUAGUUUCUGCGCCGAUGAUACUCAAGGAGGCUACCAUAAGUGCGGUCCCAUACUCCAAUGAAGAGCGCCUCUGUGUCAGGGCUGAAUGAUAUUCCAGAUAUCUCUCCAAAGAAGUCGAUCUCCUGCUCUGUUUCAUACCCCUUUGAGACGUCAUAGACGUGCACAAAGUCUGCCGGUUCGGCCAUGGCCAUGUAUUUUCCGUCGGACGUGUAGCGGAUCGACCGGAUUGCUCCAAGGUUACCCUUCAGGACAGCAACAGAGUGAGAUAGGUUGCGGAUGUCCCAUACACGGCAGGUCUUGUCUUGGUUUCCAGUUGAGAAAGUGAUUCCGUCAGGAUGCCACGCUGAGGCAAAGGAGUAGUCAAAAUGUCCUGAUAGUGUUUCCAGCGUCUGUAGAUGAAGUUUUAAAGAUUUGGCAUUAUAAAAGUGGUGACCAACCAUUUGAGACUAACUUACACACUUGAGUUCAGGAUCGAAAAUAUUUGUACCUUUCCUGUGUUGGGGUCUACUAUAAGGCCCUCGGGAUUGCCGCCAACAAUAGCUAGUAAUUUACCAUUAGGACUCAAUGAUGUGUGCUGUUACCAACAAAUGGAGGACAGAAGAACAUCAUUAGCCAAACUGAAACUCCGAAUUAUGCCAAAAUAAAAGGAAAACUAUGAGAGAAGCAAGGACUUUACGUUCACUGGCCAAGGAAAGGAAAAAUGCUUAACAAGCUGGUAUCUCUCCAUGUCAAAAUCUCUAACUCCACAGUCAUUAUUCGAGGCAGUAAAAUGAAGGGCACCACUAUGAACAGAUGACAAAAACUAAGUUAGAAGCAGUGACUCUAACAAUUUAAAUGUAAACCCUUCAGCAGAAACCUGGGUUUGUUGUAGAUCUCAAUAGCAUUGGUAAUAGCAUUAUCAUCAUAAGAAGUACAAGAGCAAAAGCUGACACCAGGUCUAUCAAGAUGCUGAAACCAAUGUGGAAAGUAGAAAGAUGUUUUUCCUACAAAUUUGCAAAACCACAUUUUCAGGCCAAAGUAGUAAAAUCAUAUCCCCCAAAAUCAUGAAAUUACGCUUCCCGCAAAAACCGUGAAAUAUUUUUUUCCCGGAAAACCAUAUAUCAUGUUUUCGCGUCAAAACCGUAAAAUUAUGUUUUUCCACCAAAAUCGUAAAAUCACAUUUUUCGCCAAAACUAUGUUAGAACCGUAAAAUCAUGAUUUUUGCAAAAAAUCGCAAAAUUAAGUUUUUCCGUCAAAACCGUAAAUCACAUUUUCCUCAAAACCACAAAUUACGUUUUCCCACUUUCUUGGUAUAAGAAUUAUUCAUGUCUACCACCACUAAAGAGAUAUUUAAAAAAAAACAUUAUUCAUUAAGUGGCAAAAGACUCUUAUAUCUUUGUUCUAUAUAUAUAUGAUAAAUAAUUAUUUAAAUAAACUAAAAAAUAUUUUUUUUAUAUCCCCUUAUAUUAAAUUUUUGAAGUUAUAAAUAUGGUCAACUUGAUAAUUUUAAUUAUUUAAGGCACUUUACAAACAAAUAAAAUGAUAAGGACUAAAAUAUAAUAACUUAAGAAAAUAAGUCAAUAUAUUUUAGUAUAGACUGACACGUGUCAGUUACGAGGCAUGUUUUAGCUAUUUAUUACUCCCUCCGGUUUUUAAUAUAAGUCGUUUUAAAGAAAUUUUUUUGUUCCAAAUUAUAUGUCGUUUUCGAUUUUCUAUGUAAAAUUUAUUAAUAAUUAAUGAUGUCUGACCAAUGAUAAUAUAUUUUCUAUUUUUCUAUUGGUUGAAUUGUAGUUAGGUAAAUAAUUAAUGAUGUUUUUGUUUAGAAAAUAUAAGAAAUUAAUGAUUUUCUUAAUCUAUGUGCAUAGCUGUAAGACGACUUAUAUUAAAAAACGGAGGGAGUAUAAGUUUAGGUAUGAACUUCAAAAUUUUAUUUAGUUUACGAAUGUUUUAGCACGUUAAUAUACUCUAGAUAUAUAUUUUUUCCGCUUUCAUAGUGUGAAUAUGAAUAAACCGUUUUCCCCAGUAAGAAACAGACAACAAACGAAGUUAGAAGCAGUGACUUUUAACAAUCUAAUGCGGACAGCAAAAGAAAGAGGCAAAAAACCUGGGUUUGUUGUAGAUUUCAAUAGCAUUGGUAAUAGCAUUAUCAUCAUAAGUAGUACGAGAGAAAAAGCUGACCCCAGGUCUAUCAAGAUGCUGAAACCAAAGUGGAAAGUAGAAAUAGAUGAAGCUUUGUCAAUAAUAAUGCAUAUGGCUACUCAAUAAUCAAUAUAUCCAGACUCUUGACAUUGCAUAUAAGAUCUCCUUGAAAUCCACCGGCAAUUAUUCGUCUUUUAUUGCAAGUGUGCUUAUAUGUGUAAACUCUUCCAGCAAACUUCCAUGGUGUUUCUAAGGGGCUGCUAGUUGGAGUUUGAUUUAUAUAGAUUUUGUUGAUUAGAAGAGUAUAUAUACUUGUUGAAUUUGGAAUGAGUUGGAGAAAAUUUUGUAACAAUCUAUAAAAAUAAAUAACUCAAAUAUUUUUUAGAAUCCAAAGGAUAUAUGUAGUACUUUUUAUGAGUUAAAUAAUUAAGAAUACAAUUCUCAAUAACAGUAACUUUAAUAAAUUUACAGAAAUAUUAAAAUCCAAACUUUCGAAUAACAAAUGAUUUUUAGAUUUUAGUGAGAAUAUGAAAAUCUAUAAAUCAAUAACACUACUAUUUAAAUUCUAAAAAUUAAUUCCACUAACACCUUCUAAAUGCACCAAAAAAUCAAAUAAGUAUAUUAUUUUAAUGGGCCGUGUGGUUAGACAAACUCAUUAACUAAUCAAUGGGCUUUAUUAACAUUAUCUCACCAAUCUAGUCAAUGUAUAUAGAUAUGUAUCUAGCCAAAAAAGGGAAGCAAUCUUAAAUUGUAUCUUUUUGGUCUUGUUAAGACUAAAACAGUCAUUAACACAUCAGCAAUACUUAUCUAAUUAAUUAAUUACAUUUAUUUUUUAAAUAUCAUUAAAGCUUUGAAUGUUUACAACCACACCAUAGUUAAUAAUUACGAAAAUCUCUACAUAUAUUUGUGUAUAUCAGAAACGCAAAUGUAGUUGUUACACAAGCUAACAUUCAGACCUUAUGUUUUCUCCUUAGGUGUUAAGGAACUGAUUUAUUAUAAAGAUAAUAAGGUCCUCACAAACUCUCCAUUCACCAACACAGCAAAAAAAAAUGUCAACAGUUUCACCCUCCUCGCAACUGGUUCAGGUGGUUCCAGACAACCACAACAACACUGACGACUCCUCUGCGGAGGUCAACUACGAAGAUCUUGUCCGUAAGUCAUGUCUAUUUGACCUUUUAUUUGACAUUAAGGUUCAUUAGUUUCCUCACAGGUUUAAAACAUUUUACAACACUCAUGUUCUUGUUUUCUCUUUACUUUGUAACAUGCUGAGACACCAUACCUCUUAUGUUUUUCAGAGGAAGCAAUGGAGAGCUUGUCCCUCGAGGAAGGUAUUAAAAAAAGGUUUCUCUAACUCUGUGGCUUUGUAUCACUUUGCGACUUAUUGAAUUUCCACCUUAUGGAACUUGCAGGCACUGUUGAACCGCAGAUUGGGGAUGUGGGAGACGGAGUCAUUGAUGGGACGACGUCCGAAGGUGGAUACCUGGUGACGAUGAAAUUCGGUUCUCAAGUGCUGAAAGGAGUGCUUUACCAUCAUGCUAAAAGGCCCCAACAAGCCAUGGGAACACCACCUUCAGGCAUGCCACCAGCAUCACAGCGCCGAGCUAAGAAGAAAGCCAGAGAGACUACUCAAGUUGAUUCUAAGAAACCCAAAUUCCGCAGGAGUGGCUACAAACCUAAGAAACAGGUCACUUACUUAUAGUUAUCAUCAAAUCAAAUCCUUUAACCAAGUGUUUGCUUAUAAUCUGAUACCAUUUUCUUACAGGUUUAUCAAGACAAAGGAGUUACGGAUGGGGAGAGGUACAGAACUGAGAUCAUGCUGGAGUACGAGUCUGCACAUGAGUCUGAUGGAGCAUCUGCUUCUGCAGCCGCCACCAUGGCUCAGUAGUCUUUUCUUUCUUCUGUUAUGUUGUUGUCUUCUUCUUUCUUUAUUACAUUUCUCUUUCUUCUUUCUUUCUCUGGACAAGUUCUCUUUCUUUUAUAAUGAAUAUUUAUAAUGUCAUUGAUCAGUUUGCAGAACAUGUCAUGUUUAUGGUUGUAGGGUUAGUAAAAGAGGUUACUAACUGCGCAUUUAUGUCUUUCUUGCUAUUUUGAUUCAUGAUAUCCCGUUUGUUUGUUUUUUUUGUUUCUGUUUUCAACUUGGAUAUAUCUUAUGUUGUUGCAGAAAUUUGAAUGAACUAUUAUUACUCUUUCCGUUCCAAAUUAAUUCAUGUUUAAAAAAAAAGUAUUUUAAGAAGAUAUAUUUUUAUUAGAUAAUAAUGUAAAAUUUUAAAUUUUGAAAAGAAAUCAUGUUUACUGUACUUCGAUAGAUAAAAAUUAUAGAAAAUAUAGUUAAACACAAAAUAAUGCAUUUAUAAUUAAGAUCAAACAUAUUUUUAAUAUGUGUGGAAAAAUUUAAAACAUACAUUUUUUGAAAUGGGGUAGGGAACAUCAUUUAUUUAACACAUAUGUUUCUUGAAUCCCAUUUUUGUUGUUAGUUUUCAAGAGUUUCAACAUGUUCUCCCAACAUAUAAAAAGCUUGUUUGAUAAUCAAUUUGUGAAAUAACCAAAAAUAAAGAGAGGAUGGGUGAUUUUGGUUAGUUAGUGAAUUUUUGUUUUUUUUUUUGUAUAUUAGACCUAAUUUCCCAUUAAUAAUGCAAUGAAUGUUUUUAAGCCAACAUGUCAUAUUUGGCAAGAAUGCGUUCAAGGCAACACAAAUUUUUGUGAGAAACUUCAUUGAUGUUUUCAUAAUUGAAACAACUAACCAACACUACUUACUGUACACAUCUUGAACCUUCAGAAUUCACAAGGAAACAACAUGCAAGCCGCCGGCAAAGGAAACAAAAAGACAGUAACUACAAUAGCAUUUGCAUAACACAUCAUUUACACAUUUUAAGACAUCCAUUAUAUUCUAUGCUUCUGCUUUUGUAUGAGCUCUCUUUUAUUCCUUGGAACGGGUUGUGUAUACUUCUCUUCUUCGCUUAAAGAAACGAAUCAAGAUAGGUGUAGUUUCUGCGCCGAUGAUACUCAAGGAGGCUACCAUAAGUGCGGUCCCAUACCCCAAUGAAGAGCGCCUCUGUGUCAGGGCUGAAUGAUAUUCCAGAUAUCUCUCCAAAGAAGUCGAUCUCCUGCUCUGUUUCAUACCCCUUUGAGACGUCAUAGACGUGCACAAAGUCUGCCGGUUCGGCCAUGGCCAUGUAUUUUCCGUCGGACGUGUAGCGGAUCGACCGGAUUGCUCCAAGGUUACCCUUCAAGACAGCAACGGAGUGAGAUAGGUUGCGGAUGUCCCAUACACGGCAGGUCUUGUCUUGGUUUCCAGUUGAGAAAGUGAUUCCGUCAGGAUGCCACGCUGAGGCAAAGGAAUAGUCAAAAUGUCCUGAUAGUGUUUCCAGCGUCU